UGAGGAAUAUUGGGCAAUGCCCGCAAGGGUGACCCAGCAACGCCGCGUGGAGGAUGAAUGUCGUAAGAUUGUAAACUCCUGUUAGAGGGGAAGAAUAGUACCGGUUGGACCGGCAUAUGACUGUACCCUCAGAGAAGCCCCGGCUAACUACGUGCCAGCAGCCGCGGCAAUACGUAGGGGGCAAGCGUUGUCCGGAUUUACUGGGUGUAAAGGGCGCGCAGGCGGGAUAAAAAGUCAGUGGUGAAAUCCUACAGCUUAACUGUAGAACUGCCUUUGAUACGUUUAUGCUUGAGUUCGGGAGAGAGUGACGGAAUUCCAGGUGUAGUGGUGAAAUACGUAGAUAUCUGGAAGAACACCAGUUGCGAAGGCGGUCUCUUGGUCCGACACUGACGCUGAGGCGCGAAAGCGUGGGGAGCAAACA
rnacentral:rRNA from 1 species